rnacentral:lncRNA from 1 species
GAAGCAACAAGCAAGGAACGGAAGGUCACAAAAUUCACUCCCACGCUAAACGCAAGUGAGAAGAAGCUUAUAGAACGCACCAAGAGUUUUUUCUACGUGAUUUUGUCAAAUUUCUUCAAGAGAAGCGAAUCUGAAGCAGACGCAGGAACCAGACAACUAAGAAAACUCACCAUGAACAAAAUCCUGUUUCUGGCGCUGGUUCUGGCGGUUCUGGUGGGCGUGGCCUUUGCUUUCCCGCAAGUGAUCACGCAGCCUCGGAAAUUCCCGGGAGAAAGGCGGUUGGGAACGAUUAACUACGGACAGUACCGGUUCGGGAAGCAUGGUUACCAGAGGAAGUGCCACCCAAGAAAAAGAGACUGUUAGUUCAGUCACCCUGGAAACAACUUACUCCAGGUUAGACACGAAGAAUCCAAGCUACAAGAGGCUACUUCUUGAAGAUAAACAGAAAUAUGUUUUAAGAAGAACACUGGAAGAUAUUGAUGCAUUUGAAAACCUUGAAAUGAACGAAGUGAUAAAGGAAUGUUCAAAGUUAUUCAGUCAUGAGCAAGGCGAGAGUGAACGUUAGCUGAGGAGAGUGAUUGACUAACUGGCAUGUGCAUGAUGGUGGCUCAGUGAGAGAGAAAAAUAUGCAUAUUAGAGAUGCAAUUGUCGAUGUAAAUUAAGGUUAAAUUAAUAUAGUCGUGGUCAUAAUGACAUGAAAUUUAACACAUUGAAAGAUUUCAACAAGCAAAAUUUACAGUGACUUCAAGAGAUAUGCAAUGGAAUCCAAAUAGCUUUGUCAGUACAGCUCUUUUUUUUUUUCUUUUUUUUUCUUCUGAAGGCACUGUGACAACUUCAGGUACAGAGACAAUUUAAAUUAUAUACUGGUAUGAGGUAGAUUGAUUUAUACUAAAUCACUUAAGUUUUUUAUCCUCUUCCUGUAUCAGUAUAUUCUGUAUACUUAUAAGUCACAAGUAUUAUCAAACAAUCAUUAAUGUAGAUUAUUGUGAAUAAUUUAUUUUUGCACCUCAGUUAUUGACUAUUUUGUUAAGGCAAUGUAGAUAUGUUUCUUUACUUGCUUAAUUUUAUUAUUGUUUCAACGAUGUAAAUAAUAAAUAUUUUCAUAGUAUAA